GCUUCAGAAGAGGACCAGACGAUCCUGGCAGAAACACUUUGAAGUUGUAAAGAACAUAUUAUCUGCAUUAAAAAAUGGCUAGAGGAAGUCGCAGUGCCAGUCGGUCUUCGGCACCAACCAGGAGGCCACUCAACCUGUCUCCUCCCAGCCGGGCCCAUGCAUGUUUGAGGUGCGACACUUCCUGAACUGCGCCACCACUCAGGCAGACCUCAGCUUGUGCGAGGGUUUCAAUGAGGUGCUCAAACAGUGCAAAGGCUCACACGGUGUUACAUCACUGGUUUGAUCAAGGAUGUUAGGAGUCAAAACAAGACACCGUUUUCAGAUAAACACACCGUAGAGUAGACAGAUGUGCCACUCGGUCAUUAAAUGAAUUCUAUUCAACUCUCCACUGUAACAUGCGUUGAUAUGUCACAAUGUAUGCUGUAUUAUUUUUUUUGUCAUGUACAGUGGGGCAAAAAUGUAUUUAGUCAGCCACCAAUUGUGCAAGUUCUCGCACUUAAAAAGAUGAGAGAGGUCUGUAAUUUUCAUCAUAGGUACACUUCAACUAUGACAGACAAAAUGAGAAAAAAAAUCCAGAGAAUCACAUUGUAGGAUUUUUAAUUAAUUUAUUUGCAAAUUAUGGUGGAAAGUAAGUAUUUGGUCAAUAACAAAAGUUUAUCUCAAUACUUUGUUAUAUACCCUUUGUUUGCAAUACAGAGGUCAAACGUUUUCUGUAAGUCUUCACAAGGUUUUCACACACUGUUGCUGGUAUUUUGGCCCAUUUCUCCAUGCAGAUCUCCUCUAGAGCAGUGAUGUUUUGGGGCUGUUGCUGGGCAACAUGGACUUUCAACUCCCUCCAAAGAUUUUCUAUGGGGUUGAGAUCUGGAGACUGGCUAGGCCACUCCAGGACCUUGAAAUGCUUCUUACCAAGCCAUUCCUUCGUUGCCCGGGAGGUGUGUUUGGGAUCAUUGUCAUGCUGAAAGACCCAGCCACGUUUCAUCUUCAAUGCCCUUGCUGAUGGAAGGAGGUUUUCACUCAAAAUCUCACGAUACAUGGCCCCAUUCAUUCUUUCCUU